CCCAGAGUUAAAGAUGACCUGAUUGCUGCUGUCUGGCUCCCCAGCUGGUUCAAUUUCUCCCUCCACCAGAUCCUUGUUUUAUCCACAUCUUAGCUUCCCCCACUCGGAUCACUCCUGGAUCACUCCUCUCUUCGGAUUGCUCUUCUGAAGAAGAAGCCGACUCAGAUUGCCUCCCCCAGAGGCAGCGCCCCAGUGAGUAACACAUUGGGGGUUGGGCAGAGUGUGUCGGAAAUGAUCAAAUACUUGCAAAUGAAGUCAUACAGCUCACAGGAGAAGGCAGUGGCCACAGGUGCCAAAUGCAGAUGACUAUGGCAAGCUCUGGGUAGGGCUGUUGCUACAAUGUGGGCCGCUACUGCACUGAGUAACAACGUUGGGUACAUAGAAAUGACUCUUAUUUUGCUCAUCACACGAUUUAACCACACGACCUGUGUAGGUUCCCAAAGUAUAGGCACCAAACCUAUGAUUUCUGUGUAGGUGGGCAUGUCUGUCUUCCCUUUAAACUACUAAAUUAGUCUAGAAAAAAAAAAAAAAAAGAUAGCUUGACACCACUGAAGACAAUUCUCCUUUGAGUACUAGGGAAACACACAAUGUAGAAAAUGAUGAUACAAGCAUGAACACAAAUCAACCAGCAUGGAAACUCCCAGCAUUUCCACCAUACCUUCUCUCCAUCCAAGACCAAAAUGGGGAUGGAGGAUGCUCCUACUUUGGUAGAUCAAACCAGUAAGAUUUUAACAACCCAAACAAAAUGGGACUGUGGUAAGAUUAAGAGGCUGUAAUUUUUUUUCCCCCUUUAUAGAUAAUGUGUCCUUGUUAGGAGAAAUGGGAAAAGCCCUUUACUACACUAUUGUCUUUGGAAUUUCAAGAUGACAGUGAUAAUGGUGGAGUUUCCUGCAGCUAAGUGUUUAGUAACAACUGGAGAAACUAAGGAGUAAGUGAAAUGAGACAAGAGCCUCACGAACCACUCUCUUCCAAUACCCAUUAGAGUUUCACAAUGUGCCAAGGCUAGAGCUAAUGUGAAUCACCCAGAUGACUGCUCCAGAAGCCACCUUACAAGGAACAGACACCCCUUCAGCCUGCCUCAGUCUACGGGAGCUUACUGGGCAAUAGGAGAGAGACAUGUCACAGGACGAUCUGGCAACAGUGACCUUUCAGUGAGUGAAACAUCUGAUAGGGUCCUGGGAGGAUCCCAUCCCAGAGGUGGUCCCUUCAUCUUUGUACUGUUCAUCACAAGCAUGACCAGGCCUUCUUUCCAGCUGCUUUUCUGCAUUCAUCUUCUCAAUGCUUCUCAUUGUACUGACUGAUUCUUUUUUGGAGUCUAUCAGUUCAAAUCUCUACAAGAACAUUAUUGCCCUAUUUAACCAUCACUUCUGUUGAGUUUAUUUGACAACGUUCAGAUUGGCUGCCAUUCUAUCAGGAGUUGACUAUGCAUUAGAUUACAGAGCAGAAAGCAGGCUCUUGUAGAGAACAUGGCCACCCUCAUUCAAGGAACAGAACAGCUCAAGGUCUAGUCCUUUCAGCACAGAGAGAACCAGAGGUCCAGGCCAGGUAUCUUUUGAAGCAAAGAUUGGCCAAUCCAAAAUACAUUUUACAGUUCCCCAUUUCCAAGCCCUGAAUGAUCCUGAGAUGUUGCUCCCCAGGAGACUUAAGAAGGACAAAGCUGUCACAGCAGUAACUCUAAUAGAACUGCACGUACAGACCUAGAGCCAGCCCCCAGAGAGACAUAGGAGAAUUUAUCCAUAGCCAACAGGGGACUUCAACGUCUCUGUAAAAUCAGGAGAUCCUUUGCCUUUAUGAAGUGUAUGUCAUAAGGUCUUUGCAAGUCUUCAUAGUUAAAACAAUAGUUUAUACUCUCCCCCAUAAAAUGCAGUAGAACACCCUUUCAGAAGAAUGACUAAAUUCAAUGAAAUACAUAGCACAGUGAAGUUGUAUUGAGAUGCAAACAGUGGGCAGUGAAAUUUUCUCCCCAAAGCUAAGAGAGAAUCAUUGCCCAAUGUAAGUCAUUCUGAUCUGAGCACAUUAUACAUUAAUCCAUUUCUUGCACUUUAAGGGCUGCUCAUUGAUAGUUACUGCUAGUUAUGUCAAAUCCUGGAAUGCCAAAAUCUGUUCCUACACCUCCUCCCUAUAUCCUUUCAUUUCUUUCAUUUCAUACCAAAAUGAACAGGCAUAUUACUUGAUGUUUAUAUUUCCCAGGCUAGUCCACAUUUCCCAUAUAUAAGAUGUAUAUAAAGUGCUUAAUACAAUAUCUACUGCAUAGUAAGUACUCGAUAAAUGUUAACUCUGACAUACAUAUGUAUUAAACCU
rnacentral:lncRNA from 12 species